rnacentral:rRNA from 1 species
AUUGAACGCUGGCGGCAGGCCUAACACAUGCAAGUCGAACGGUAACAGGAAGACGCUUGCUUCUUUGCUGACGAGUGGCGGGCGGGUGAGGAAUGUCUGGGAAACUGCCUGAUGGAGGGGGAUAACUACUGGAAACGGUAGCUACCACCGCAUAACGUCGCAAGAACAAAGAGGGUGACCUACGGGCCUCUUGUCAUCGGACGUGCCGAGCUGGGAUUGGUUAGUUGGUUGGGUAACGGCCCACCCAGCGGACGAUCCCAAGCUGGUCUGAGAGGAUGGCCGGCCACACUGGAACUGGGACACGGUCCAGACUCCUACGGGAGGCGGCAGUGGGGAAUAUUGGACAAUGGGCGCAAGCCUGAUGCAGCCAUGCCGCGUGUAUGAGAAAGGCCUUCGGGUUGUAAAGUACUUUCAGCGGGGAGAAAGGGAGUGAGGUUAAUACCUUUACUCAUUGACGUUACCCGCAGAAGAAGCACCGGCUAACUACGUG